GCAAGAGCAGGAUAGAAAUAAUGCUACCGGAAGUAUGGGAAAUGUUUAUGUCACUGACGCCCAAGGUGAAGGAAGUAACCAAUCCAGGCCUGUGCGAGUCCAUGCGAGAGGGCCCAUUGACGGACUUGCUGGCAUUGGGCGUGGAACCACAUUUGUGUCUGCUGCAGCCUGUCCUCCAACACGCUAUGUUUUCUCCCGUGUUCCUUAUGUGGGAAACACAAAUAAUCAGCAGUCACACGCCAAUGGUGAAUCAGAAGCUAGAAUUGAUUUUAAUGCUGAUCUCUCUGGGGAUGGUCUGACAGCUUUGUUUGGACUCAGCCAAGGGAGCAACAUUGGUCAUGUGCACUCAGAGCAGUUAGAGAGAGUAUAUGAACCGGACGUGCAGA
rnacentral:misc_RNA from 1 species